rnacentral:rRNA from 1 species
CAGUCGCCACGGUAAUACGAAGGGGGCUAGCGUUGCUCGGAAUUACUGGGCGUAAAGCGCACGUAGGCGGAUAUUUAAGUCAGGGGUGAAAUCCCAGAGCUCAACUCUGGAACUGCCUUUGAUACUGGGUAUCUUGAGUAUGGAAGAGGUUAGUGGAAUUGCGAGUGUAGAGGUGAGAUUCGUAGAUAUUCGCAGGAACACCAGUGGCGAAGGCGGCUAACUGGUCCAUAACUGACGCUGAGGUGCGAAAGCGUGGGGAGCAAACAGGAUUAGAUACCCCAGUAGUCCCUGUCUCUUAUAC